AAUAAAGUGCCUGAAAAAGGAUUAUUCUGAUAGAAUAAAUAAUGUAGUAUACUCUACCUUUAUUA
rnacentral:tRNA from 1 species